AUGGUGCCAAAGUUACAGUGGCAGGUCCAAGGGCACCAGUUCAGCACAACUAUGUGGGUUCUGGACCUCGGGGUUUAUGGCACAGUGCUUGGUGUCGAUUGGCUAGCGCAGCACAGCCCAAUGAAGUGUGACUGGCAACAGAAAACAGUGCAGUUUGAACGAGAGGGACAAACAGUGCACCUGACCGGCGUCCAAUCGGACGAGCCACCAACGCUAACUGCCCUUGAUGCAGCGACUCUCUGGCAGAUGCAUGACGCUAAUGAGAUUUGGGGUGCUGCCCUCUUGGAAAUUCAGGUGAACCCAGCUUCAGACUCUGACGGAAGACAACCACCACCCAUGGUGAUUCAGAAAGUACUGACGGAGUUCAAUGACGUAUUUGCAGAACCAACUGAACUUCCUCCCCAUCGACAAUAUGAUCAUGCGAUCACACUAGAACCGGGUGCAACACCAAUCAACUGCAGGCCUUAUCGCUACUCACCAUUGCAGAAGGACGAGAUUGAACGGAGGCCUCAAGAGAUGCUGCGUACGGGUGUCAUCACUCACAACAUGAGCCCCUAUGCAGCACCCGUCCUUCUCGUCAAGAAAAAGGACGACACAUGGCGUUUCUGUGUCGACUACCGACGUCUCAACGCGGUGACAAUCAAGAACAAGUUCCCACUACCUAUCAUUGAUGAGCUGUUGGACGAACUGGCUGGUGUCGCUUUCUUCUCCAAGAUAGAUUUGUGCGCCGGUUACCAUCAGAUUCGUAUGCGGGAGAGCGACGAGGAGAAAACAGCUUUCAAGACACAUCACAGUCACUUCCAGUUCCGCGUCAUGCCAUUUGGAGUCACCAACGGGCCACCAACCUUCCAAUGUGUGAUUAACUCUAUCUUCGCGGAACCAAAUCGUAAGUUUGUCAUCAGUUUUCUGGAUGACAUAUUGGUUUUCAGCCAAUCCUUA
rnacentral:rRNA from 1 species